UCGGUUUUCAUCUCGUAUUCAUCUCAAAUGCACCAUGCAUGAUUUACUAUUGUUGUUUGUUUCCUAUAGUUUUUUUUUUUCUGGUCAACUCCCAAUAUUAUAAUUUUGAGUAUCCAUUUUACCGGCAACGAUCAAGUCUUUGACGAUUUCUAAGUUGAUAGUACUAAUUUGUUUAUUGUUAUUCCGAAAAUAAACCUGAGGGCUGGUCAACAACGGCAGUUCAAUGAUCGAGGAGAGACUUAAAUAUUCAAAAUUUUCUGCUGUUCAAUACCUAAUUUCAAAUGUGACAUUUAGCUAUAAAUAGCAAAAUUGAAAGUUAGAGAGGCAGGCACAUGAUGCUCUUCAGUCUUCAAUAUGAUUAAUUGAUAUCAACCGUUUCAAUAAUUAUGACUAUUAAAUGCGAGAGACAGGGCUUAUGUCUUUGUUCUUUCCUGUAUCACUGUUACAAACUCAAACUUUAUAAUACUACUAACUUUGAUGAAUUCUCAACUAGUUUGUUUAGGGUUUCUAUCUCGAGCCGGGUGAUGAAAAAAUAUGAUGUUCGUAUUCGUUUGUAUUUCGGGUGUUAUCAAUAUUUUAAAACAGAAUGUUUCCGUUAAUUGUUUUUUCAUUUUCUUAAACAACGUUAACUAUACAUCAUUAUAUUUAAACGAAUCAUUAAAAAAUUGAUUACCAAUUAAGACAGCAGUUGAGAUAGAGAGAAACGAGACAUGAGUGAUGAGUAUGACCCACACGGUUUCAUUAAGAUGAGUAAUUAGCUCUUUAACUUUUUUUUAGCUAGAGAAGAGCCAAUGUUCAGACACUAAAUGUGACAAUCAGGAACCACAAAGAGAUGAUAUAAAACUUCUUCUUUUUU
rnacentral:lncRNA from 1 species